UUUAGAGAGAGAGAAAGAUGGAGAGAGAGAGAGCGAGCGUGCGGACAAGAGAGUAAAUAAAAGAAAUUUAGGGGAGAAGGUUCUGAGUGGCAGAAGAUGCCUGGACACAGAAAAGCCGGUGCAGAUGGGAAGAGGGAGACCCAAAGAGAGAUAGGUGGAGAGAGCCUGACUGGGAGAGACCCCGGGAACGAGAGACAGACAGAGACUGAGGAGGCAUCAGAAGGAAGCUGGAGGAAAACAGGAGAGGGGCCAGGCUCCGAUGGAUGAAGGAGGAGCAAACCGCCCUGCUCCAGAGGGGCCAUGUGGUGAAGACCUGAGCAUGGCAUCUGCCAGUGAGAGCACAGAGGCAUCAGCCCUGCGACCACAAAUCCUGAGUGUGCGUUCUCCCAGGUGCUUGGGCUGUCUCGUCAACAACAGCUGGGCCUUUGUGUUUUCUCAAGAGGAACAGAGUGGUGGUGGCGUGCUUUCCCGCUGUACCAGGAAGAGAUCAGCGUUUCUAAAACGUCCUCAUUCGGGGUGAAGUGGAAAUAUUCCAGUGCUGAGGAAUCAGGGCACCUGGGAUGCCUGGGUGGCUGUUGGUUAAGUGUCU